GUGGGGAAAAUGUUAUUCCCACCGGUUUUGAACCGGUGGGUUUGUUAUUUUUUUUAAAAAACUGCCCCCUUAUAACCCCUAACCCUACCUCACGCACUCCUCACUUCUCAGCCGCCCAUUUUCUCCCUCCCCUCCUUCUCUUUCUCUCUCCUCUCUCCCUCUCCUCAUUCUCUUUCUCAUCUCCUUCUCUCUCUUCUUUUUCGACUCCUUGUCUCAAAAAACCAGAAAUUAGUUAUAGAAUCUCACAAUUGAUUAUAGAUCUUUCACUCGUUGUCUCAAAUUCUCUUUUAUUCGACUCCUUCUCCCUUUUUUUUUUGAUCUCGUUCUCGUCUCCUCUUUCAUUUCGAGGACAUGCAUGAACAAGAGCAACACUGAUUUCGAGGGUUUUUGUUGAAAUUCGAAGUAUAUUUCAAGAAGCAGGAAAAUAUAAAUCGACGAAUUGCAAUUUCUGGGAUUUUUUUAUAAGUAUUGUAAUUUUUUUUAUUUAUACGUUGUAAUUGUUAGAUUAUUUUGUUUUUAAGACAAAUUGUUAGAUUAAAUUGAUUUAUAUUGUAUUUUUUUUUUAUUAUAUGUUGUAACUUUUCGAUUAUAAUGAUUGAAAUUUCGAUUUAUA